GGCCACAGAAAUAUCUAGCUCCAUGUGUAUGGCAUUUGCAAUGAAAGGUUUAUUUUUAACUUCUUAUCUCUGUUAAACAGAUGACAUUUCCCCAAGACUAGAUAUAUUAUCAACUCUUUAUUUCCCUUGGCACUACUUAAUGUGACACCAGUAUAUUUCCAGAAUGACAUUCCUGUCAAAUUAUUUUUAGAGAUGAAAAUAGGCUACAAAGUUCUUUGUAAACAUUAAUGCAAAACUCAACAGAGUAACCUGAAAUCAAAUGUGUGGCUAAACAAGCAUUUAUUCAUGUUUGAACUGUUUUUUUUACAUUUUUGUUUGAGUUAUGCACAUUAUAAAUUGAAGUACAA